CAGUAGCCGCGGGAAUACAGAGGGUGCAAGCGUUAAUCGGAAUUACUGGGCGUAAAGCGCGCGUAGGUGGUUUGUUAAGUUGGAUGUGAAAUCCCCGGGCUCAACCUGGGAACUGCAUCCAAAACUGGCAAGCUAGAGUAUGGUAGAGGGUGGUGGAAUUUCCUGUGUAGCGGUGAAAUGCGUAGAUAUAGGAAGGAACACCAGUGGCGAAUGCGACCACCUGGACUGAUACUGACACUGAGGUGCGAAAGCGUGGGGAGCAAACAGGAUUAGAUACCCGCGUAGUCCCUGUCUCUUAUAC
rnacentral:rRNA from 1 species